CGGGCAGGGCCGGCCGCGGGCGUUCCGCGCUGCCCGGGGUGUCCCCGGGGGUGUCCCCGGGGGUGUCCCCGGUCACCACGCUGGCGCUGGACAUGGACAACCUGGCGGGGCUGGGCAGCCACUGGGACACCCCGAAGCGGCGGGUGCCCCCUCCGGGACUGCGGUCCCCCGUGCUCCCCCCGCGACCGGGGGCCUCGGACCCCUCCCGGGGCUCCCCCCGGGGUCUCCCCCGGGAUUCCGUCUCCUCCGAGUCCUCGGAUGCGGCUUUGGGGCCGGACUCGCCCCCCCCGCAGGACCCCGCGGCGCUGGAUGAUGU